rnacentral:rRNA from 1 species
GGGCCCGCACAAGCGGUGGAGCAUGUGGUUUAAUUCGAUGCAACGCGAAGAACCUUACCUGGCCUUGACAUCCAGAGAACUUAGCAGAGAUGCUUUGGUGCCUUCGGGAACUCUGAGACAGGUGCUGCAUGGCUGUCGUCAGCUCGUGUUGUGAAAUGUUGGGUUAAGUCCCGCAACGAGCGCAACCCUUAUCCUUUGUUGCCAGCGGUUCGGCCGGGAACUCAAAGGAGACUGCCGGUGAUAAACCGGAGGAAGGUGGGGAUGACGUCAAGUCAUCAUGGCCCUUACGGCCAGGGCUACACACGUGCUACAAUGGCGCAUACAAAGAGAAGCGACCUCGCGAGAGCAAGCGGACCUCAUAAAGUGCGUCGUAGUCCGGAUUGGAGUCUGCAACUCGACUCCAUGAAGUCGGAAUCGCUAGUAAUCGUAGAUCAGAAUGCUACGGUGAAUACGUUCCCGGGCCUUGUACACACCGCCCGUCACACCAUGGGAGUGGGUUGCAAAAGAAGUAGGUAGCUUAACCUUCGGGAGGGCGCUACCACUUUGGAUCCCUUUCCGG